rnacentral:rRNA from 1 species
GGAGAGUUUGAUCCUGGCUCAGGAUGAACGCUGGCGGCGUGCUUAAUACAUGCAAGUCAACUGAGCUUAAGGUAGCAAUAUCUUAAGUGCGGUGGCGCACGGGUGAGUAACACGUAGGUAAUCUGCCUUUAGGUCUGACAUAAUCCCGCGAAAGCGGGACUAAAAUCAGAUGAUGCAGCGGCUCGACAUCGAGACAGUUGUUAAACCUUCGGGGCCUAAAGAUGAGCCUGCGUCUGAUUAGGUAGUUGGCGGAGUAAAAGCCCACCAAGCCUGCGAUCAGUAGCUGGUCUGAGAGGAUGAUCAGCCACACUGGAACUGAGACACGGUCCAGACUCCUACGGGAGGCAGCAGUAGGGAAUUUUCCACAAUGGGCGAAAGCCUGAUGGAGCAAUGCCGCGUGCAGGAUGAAUGUCUUCGGAUUGUAAACUGCUUUUAUGAGGGAAGAUUAUGACGGUACCUCAUGAAUAAGCCUCGGCUAACUCCGUGCCAGCAGCCGCGGUAA